rnacentral:tRNA from 1 species
GGAGGGGUGGGUGAGUGGCUGAAACCACCAGUUUGCUAAACUGACGUACUCUAUUCGGGUACCGGGGGUUCGAAUCCCCCUCUCUCCG